UAUUAGGACAAUAACGUUCUGUUUUGUUUGUUUAGUUUAAUGUUAGUCGUUUAAUGCUCACAGCAACAUGUUUUUGUGUGAUUCGCUAUUUGUGUUAUAUGAUUUAUUAAUGUGUUCGUCAAUAGCUAAUUUGAGCUAAUAGGCUAACGUGAGCGUGGUGCUAUCUCUCCAACAGAACCCAGCUCACGUGUCCAUUGUAUGUGUCCAUUGCAACGCAGGUAUGUGAGUUUUGUACACCAGUUUGUUUAUGUUUAAUGUUUCACAUUGUUAUACUACCACUAUACGAUCAUUGUUGUGUUGUUGAUUAUUGGAUUGUAAAGGAGAUUUAGAUACCGCGUGAGGAUCUGUUGAGAAACCCAGCUCACGUGUCCAUUGUAUGUGUCCAUUGCAACGCAGGCUCAUCUAAAGGACGGCGCGGAGCAGAGGUGGGCUUUAAGCCACCACUAUUGUGUUUGCUUCUACAAUUUGGUGACCUUCCGACGUGAUGAGUGCUGGUCUCUAGAAGGACCACCGACAGCCAGCGGACGAAUUUCUGUCCAGGGGAGGACACCCCGGGCACCGUUGACAACUAAACCAGGACGUCCAGAUACAAAGGUGAGCAGACACCUGUUGAUUGUCAAAAUCUGUGAUUGGCUAUACUACAACAAUUUUAGAGUUGUCAGUGGCGUUCUCAGUGUUCUUAGUCACGGUAAAAAAUACAAUACUGUAGAAAGUGUUUGUAGAGUCAGGUAGAGCAGUCCUGUACCUAAGGCACUAAGUGUUUGUAAGAGUCGGGUAGGACAUUCCGGACCUAUAGGGCACUAAGUGUGUAAGAGUUUGGUAUUGCAUUCCAGUACCUUCGCUCACUAAAGCAAAGUCGGUGCUCAGAGUCAGGUAGGACAUUCCAGACCUGAGGCAUCGAGUUAUAUUUAAGAAAGUGUUUGUAUAAGAAAGUAAAGUGAACCAGCGAGGUCUCCGUGGGGUACUAGUCCUGCACGGCUGACUCGCUGGGGAAAUUCUGUAAUAAACUCUGUGUGAUAUUUUACGUCGAAUCUGUGUAAUAAUUGAGAAGAGACAGCAGAAAUAGUGACAUGAGAAGGUUUGCAGAAGCUGGGAGCUUCAUCAGACAGAGGAAGCUCAUUUGUGGUCAGCUGCUGCCCUCUGGUGGCGAACAGGGUGUAACCAUAUUCUGUGUAUUGAAUAUUGAAUUCAGAAUAGAAUAAGGACAUUAAGAGUAACGACAAGAUUUGUCCGGUGUAUUAAUAAAUACAAGUGAACACAUAUUAACCUAGUCAGAUAAUAGAUACGAAGUCAUAAUGGAAGGACAAUUUGAAAAGAGUGAUUUAGGCGUUCCAAUUCCCGGAAGCUUCCGCGAACAAUGGGAACAUACUGAGAGAUUGAUUCUCAGUGGAAUCAAACAGAGAGACAAGAAAAAGGCUUGUGCAGACCUGAGGUUCCUAAAAAAUAAAAUGACGGAAGAGGACAGAGUAGGAGCCGACGAGACAUUCGGAAAUCUGUUUUGUUGAUUGUUCUGUCUGUUGGUUGUCAUUGUUGAUUCGUAAAGACCUUGUUUUAUGUUGGUAAAUGUUUUGGUAUACCAAUAGUUUGUUGUUAGUUGUUGAAAGAAGCCCCCUUCUCUUGAAAAGGCUGAGAGCUCCAGCCGGAGCCGGGGUGUCAGUAUUUGUACUUUCUGAUUCUGUAGAAGAGUAGACCCUUUGUUUCAAUCAGAAAAAGAGCAAGCUCUUCAUCACAAUUGUAUUUUUAGGUUAUGAAUAAAACAAAAAGUAGUAGCCUAAGUGAUAAGCAGAAGGGUUUUUGAACGCUUGUCAGUAAUCUAUUAAGGUCUAUAUGACAGGGGUGCUUAUGCCCGCUUCGGUUUUCAAUGUCCGCCAUCACGUUAAAACAGAGGAUUGGUGGCAUUUUCAGUUAAUUGCUUACUUCCACAUGCCUUUUCCCCUCCUUGUCUCUUUCAUGACUUUAUUUAAUGCAUUAUAACGAUUGUUAUCGUAACUUUCCGUGUUUCUGGAAGUCAAACUCACUGUUCACAUUACGGAGUAUAUUUCCGGAACGGCCUUUCAAAAUAAAAGCCACAGGCCGCUGUUCACCAGAGAUGCCUUCACAAUAAAACAGUAAUUAGCUUAACAAUAUAUUUAACUUAUAUUACGUCCUUAAACAUUGAUUUGAAUUCAUUACAGUUUUCAAAUACGGCGCGGAUUGAAUACAGUUAUUUGUGUAUUCUGUUACAACCUCACCAUGCUUGUAACACAACUUUGAUAAACAAUUUGAAAAUGAAUAGAAUUAACCAAGUAGAUAAAAGAUUAGUAUAAUGGUUAAGGAGGGUGUCCUUGUUUUGCCUAUUAACUUAGAACUGAAGUAAUAAAGAAUAGGCAGACUACUACCAUUAGUUUGUUUUAACAUUCACAUGUUUCAGCAUUCCUGACCUCAGCCGUUUUAUUUUGUAACCCGUUGGGAGAGAGAUUUCAAUUGAGUUUUUCUCAGUAGCUGAAUGUGAUUACAGCAGCAUUGGAUAGUUCUGCACCACCUUUUGGGUUCUCUGAAUCAGUGUGUUGGUGAAGAGUUGCUCACUGCAAACAGAAGAAGUUUGCAAAGAACGCAUCUCUGAGGAGAUAUUGACAUUUAGCUUGUGCCUCGUUGCCAAGGCAACAGUGGUGUGAAGAGGUACUGCGGUUUUGGGGGGAUUUCUGUUGUACAGAGGACAACGUGUGUCUGCCAAGUGAUUCCUUCCCUCAUCCCAAUGCCAGGGAGAGUUUCCUUGGAGCCCACUGACCAGGGCCGGUCCUAGCUUUUUUGGGGACCCUGCCACUGACUACAGCUGCAUCACUGACUGUGCUCAUUAUGACAAGAUCUUGAGACAUGCUUGUCUCAGAUUGUUCAGACUCUGAAGGAAUGAUGCAAUGAUUUUACGGCAUAAUUGUGCAAGAGUUUCCCAGGGGGGGGUGUAGAAACCUUAAUGCUUAGUGUUUAGAUAAGAGGCUGCUUGUUUAAAUGAUGGUCUGGAAUACUGAAAAGAUUAAAGUUUAAUAUUCUUGGUUAGCAAACAAGACAUCUGAUUAUUAUGUCACACAUAAUAAUCUUGUUAUAGAAACUAGCUAUGGGUAAAACGUGUGGUUGUUAUACCAUUGUUAUCAUGAACAAAAGAUAAAUAAGGAAAUAGUAUCUGCUUAAAGAUGAACGGAUUUCAUAUCCUAGAGGAUUAGUUAUUGUGAAUACUCCACAAGGUAUCUACUAAUGUAUUUUAAAGAACCACAUUUAAAGAACUUGAAUUGACUUGAUAAAUAAGUGAAGAUAAGAACCAUUAAUUAAUCAAUUGGUAAAUUAAAAAUAGCGGUAAAGAGGAAAACUAUUAAAGUGAAGUGAAAAAUCAUCCUAAAACACACUGAUGGAAAAGGGGGGGGGCAUGAUGGAAGUAUGCACUAGACUUUAAGUAGUGGGUGUUUGGGAGUUAGGAGUACAGUGUAGAACCAUAUUCUUCAAUCUUUUCAUCAUAUUUACAAAUGAUUCUUUUAGAGUUUUUAUUCAUGUGUGAAUUUGGUAGUGUUUUAAUUUGUUACAGUAUUGAUCAGUUCAAAGGGAGAGUUUUAGUAACAUCUCUAUAAGAUCAGACAAAUAUUUAUUUAUAUAGGUCAUGUUGAAGGGAAAGCUAGUUCUAAACAAAAUAUAGUAUUUCAAUUUGAGGUACUGGUUUCACCAUUAUGGCAUAGUUAUUACCAUAGGAGGGCUUUCGGAUGGACAUACGAAAUGACUUCUGUUUUUAAAUCCUUGAUAAAGUAGGGAGUAAUUGUUGCAUGUUCGGACACCCAAGGUUCCACGCACUGUUAAAGAGGGUAACAUUGUUCUUUAAGUGCACCAGAAUUGAAGAUAAAUUAAUAUAAUGAGUUAUGAAAUACAUAGCAGAGCUUUACAGAUCCUAAUAAUUUUUUGACUCAAGAAAAUAAUUAUAUUCACAAGUUUCUGAUCUAUUAGACAUUUUAAUAUAGAUUAGAUGUUAAUGAACUGCAGUAGUAGUACUAUAAGGAAGUGAGUUUUGUACCAAGUUGUAGGUAAUGUGGGAAACAGC